GGAUUGAACGCUGGCGGCAGGCCUAACACAUGCAAGUCGAGCGGUAGAGAGGUGCUUGCAUCUCUUGAGAGCGGCGGACGGGUGAGUAAUGCCUAGGAAUCUGCCUAGUGGUGGGGGAUAACGUUCGGAAACGGACGCUAAUACCGCAUACGUCCUACGGGGGAAAGCGGGGGACCUUCGGGCCUCGCGCCAUUAGAUGAGCCUAGGUCGGAUUAGCUAGUUGGUGAGGCAAUGGCUCACCAAGGCGACGAUCAGUAGCUGGUCUGAGAGGAUGACCAGCCACAUUGGGACUGAGACACGGCCCAAACUCCUACGGGAGGCAGCAGUGGGGGAAUCUUGCGCAAUGGGCGAAAGCCUGACGCAGCCAUGCCGCGUGUAUGAUGAAGGUCUUA
rnacentral:rRNA from 1 species